AUGCCUUUUCCACCCAAGUCAACUAAAAAGAAAGAUGACGAAGAAUUUGAACGCUUUGCUAAAAUGCUGAGGCCAGUCUUUUUGCGUACUCGCUUGACUGAUAUCUUGAAAAUGCCUCCUUAUGCAAACUACAUGAAAGACAUCAUCACCAAUAAGAGAAAGAUAUCGGAAGCUAAAAUCUCCACUAUGCUUGCUAAUUAUACUUUUAAAGAUGGAGUACCUAAAAAACUUGGAGAUCUGGGAAUACCAAUUAUACCUUGCUCUAUCAAAAACAAUUAUGUCAAAACUGCUUUGUGUGAUUUAGGAGCUGGUGUUAGUGUCAUGCCUUUCUCUUUAUAUAAAUGA
rnacentral:rRNA from 1 species